rnacentral:rRNA from 1 species
AUAUCAAUAAGCGGAGGAAAAGAAACUAACAAGGAUUCCCCUAGUAACUGCGAGUGAAGCGGGAAAAGCUCAAAUUUAAAAUCUGGCCGUCUCCGAUGGUCCGAGUUGUAAUCUGGAGAAGCGUUUUCCGCGUCGGACCGUGUACAAGUCUUCUGGAAUGGAGCGUCAUAGAGGGUGAGAAUCCCGUCUCUGACACGGACUACCGAUGCUUUUGUGAUGCGCUCUCGAAGAGUCGAGUUGUUUGGGAAUGCAGCUCAAAAUGGGUGGUAAAUUCCAUCUAAAGCUAAAUAUUGGCGAGAGACCGAUAGCGAACAAGUACCGUGAGGGAAAGAUGAAAAGCACUUUGGAAAGAGAGUUAAACAGUAC